rnacentral:rRNA from 1 species
CCUACGGGAGGCAGCAGUGGGGAAUAUUGGACAAUGGGGGGAACCCUGAUCCAGCCAUGCCGCGUGUGUGAAGAAGGCCCUCGGGUUGUAAAGCACUUUCAGUGAGGAAGAACGCCUGGUGGUUAAUACCCAUCAGGAAAGACAUCACUCACAGAAGAAGCACCGGCUAACUCCGUGCCAGCAGCCGCGGUAAUACGGAGGGUGCGAGCGUUAAUCGGAAUUACUGGGCGUAAAGCGCGCGUAGGUGGCUUGAUAAGCCGGUUGUGAAAGCCCCGGGCUCAACCUGGGAACGGCAUCCGGAACUGUCAAGCUAGAGUGCAGGAGAGGAAGGUAGAAUUCCCGGUGUAGCGGUGAAAUGCGUAGAGAUCGGGAGGAAUACCAGUGGCGAAGGCGGCCUUCUGGACUGACUCUGACACUGAGGUGCGAAAGCGUGGGUAGCAAACAGGAUUAGAUACCCGAGUAGUC